rnacentral:rRNA from 1 species
UACGAAGGGGGCUAGCGUUGUUCGGAUUUACUGGGCGUAAAGCGCACGUAGGCGGAUCGUUAAGUCGGGGGUGAAAUCCUGGAGCUCAACUCCAGAACUGCCUUCGAUACUGGCGAUCUCGAGUCUGGAAGAGGUGAGUGGAACUCCUAGUGUAGAGGUGGAAUUCGUAGAUAUUAGGAAGAACACCAGUGGCGAAGGCGGCUCACUGGUCCGGUACUGACGCUGAUGUGCGAAAGCGUGGGGAGCAAACAGG